GCAAAAAGGUAUAACAUGGUCA
rnacentral:siRNA from 1 species